rnacentral:rRNA from 1 species
AUUGAACGCUGGCGGCAGGCCUAACACAUGCAAGUCGAACGAGUGGCGGACGGGUGAGUAAUGUCUGGGAAACUGCCUGACGGAGGGGGAUAACUACUGGAAACGGUAGCUAAUACCGCAUAUCAUCGGAGGUGCCCAGAUGGGAUUGGCUAGUAGGUGGGGUAAAGGCUCACCUAGGCAACGAUCCCUAGCUGGUCUGAGAGGAUUACCACCCGCUCUGGAACUGAGGCACGGUCCAGACUCCUACGCGAGGCAGCAGUGGGGAAUAUUGCACCAUGGGCGCAGGCCUGAUGCAGCAAGGCCGCGUGUAUGAAGAAGGCCUUCGGGUUGUAAAGUACUUUCAGCAGGAAGGCAUUACCCGCAGAAGAAGCACCGGCGAACUCCGUGCCAGUAGCCGCGGUAAUAC